AUGAACUGUUGCAACUGUAUGAUAGUAACUUCCCCAACCUACUUCAGUCUUAUCCAAAAACCCUAUAUCCUGCAAUCUACCACACUUUGGAUGGUUCUGUAGACUUAAUAUCCUGAAUAUGAAUGCCCUGCACCUACUACAGGUGCUACCAAUCUCAUUACCCAAAACCCUGCUCGCGAACAUCUUCAAAUCCUUCACCAAUUUUAUUUGGGCUCAUAAACAACCACGAUUGGCCUAC